ACUAGGUCUAUAGUUCAGACAUGUAACAAGAAUUUUACUAAUACAAGACUAUGAUUUACUGUAAUUACAGUAAUUUAAUAAACAUUUACCAAGCUUUCUCUGCCUGCAAAAUAUAGUGCUAGGAAAGUAAUAAGACUGAUCUCUUCCUUCAAUAGCCUCUUAGUAUAAUGUAUGGUUGUAGAAAGGAGAUGUAAAUAUGCCAAUGGAGAAAUAAUAAAUAAGAUUUAAAACAACACUUGAAAAUGCAAAAGAGGGGAAUGUUAUAAGACAGUAUACAUUUAAUUGUCAAAAAUGAUACAAAUUUCUUGUGGCAAAGGACUUUAAAAUGAGAGUACAAAUUACUUCGUGCUGAAAGAGUAGGAGGAGAUUAUGGACCAAGUAGGAUUUGAGCUGGACCUAUAAUUCUGGAUUAUAGGUCUGGUGCCAAUGUCUCUGGAUGAGUGGGCAGGCUUGAUGCCAGGGUUCAGGGACAGGCUUGCCCUCUCAUUCCCCCAUAGCAGAAUUUAUGAGCCAAAGUAAUCUCUCUCAACAUUGUGCUAGGCUGUAUUGGGGAAAGAGUGAAACAUACAAAGAGAAAUUGUUUUCUUACCCUUUAAAUGUAUCUUCCUCAUAUCUGUGUUCCCCUUGGGUACUGUAACCUCUCACCUGGAUCCUGGAACUCUCAUCAAGGUAUUUUUAUAUGCAGAUGGUUGUUAAUUUGGUGUUUUUGUUGGGGGGGGCGGGGACAAGGGCUAGGAAAUCCUUGUUCUGCCGUAUUGCUGAUAUCAUUCUCUUCAACUGUCUUAAAUAUGCUCAUAACUAAAAGAAAUUGAAAGAACAAUAUAUCAACAAAUAUAGAAAACCAGUAAAGAAACAGAAAUUAUAAGAAAUAAUCAGACAAAAAUUCUGGGGUUGGAAAUAAUAAUAACUGAAAUUAAAAAUUCACUAAGGAGUUUCAAUAGAUGAUGUAAACAGCCCUAAGAAAGAGUCAGUAUAUAAGAAGAUCAGUCCAUUAUCCAGUCUGAGGGGCAAAAAGAAAGAAGAGUGAACUAAAUAAAUAAACAAACAAAUAAAAGCAUAUGAGACCUGUGGGAUACUAUCUAGCAUAGUAACAUAUACAUAAUGGGAAUCUCAGAAAGAGGGGAUAGAGAAAAGGACAGACAAUACUUGAAGAAAUAAUGGCCAAAAUCUUCCCAUAUUUGAUAAAAUACAUGAUAUUCAAGGGCUCAGUCAAGCCUAAGAAAGAUGAACACAAAAAGGAAUACAUAAGACAUAUUAUAAUAAAUUUGUUUAAACCAAGACAAAAAGAGAGUCUUAAAAACAGCAAGAGAAAAGUAACUCAUCGCGGGCAUGGGAUCCUCAAUAAAAUUAGCAGGAAUUUUCUCAUCAUAAACCAUGGGGGCCAGAAGAAAGUGAAAUGAUAUUUUUUUAAUUACUGAAAAUAAAAUAACUGUCAGCCAAGAAUUCUAUAUCUAGAAAAAACUACUUCAUUCAAAAACAUAGGAAAAAUGAAGAAAUUCACAGAUACAUGGAAGCUGAGGGAGUUAGAUGCUAGUAGACCUGCCCUACAGGAAAUGCACUACGAGCCAGGGAAUCCUUCAUGCUGGAAUGAAAAAAUGCUAGACAGUAACUCAAGGCCAUAUAAAGAAACAAUGAACUACACUAAUAUAUAAUAUUAUAUCUGUUUGUAACUCUUCUUUAUAUUAUUUACAUGAUUUAAAAGACAACUAUAUAAAGAUUAUUAUAAAUCAUGUUAAUGGGGGGGGGCGGUGCUCUGGAAAACCAGACAGCGUGGCAGCUGCUCUUCAAAGUUUUUGCCAUUGUUGUUGCCACCAUGAGUCGCAACUAUAAUGAUGAGCUGAAGUCCUUGGAAAAGAUCAAUAAAAAUUGCUGGAGGAUCAAGAAGGGCUUCGUGCCCAACAUGCAGGUUGAAGGAGUUUUCUAUAUGAAUGAUGCUCUGGAGAAAUUAAUGUUUGAGGAAUUAAGGAAUGCCUGUUGCAGUGGUGGUGUUGGUGGCUUCUUGCCAGCCAUGAAGCAGACUAGCAAUGGGGCAGACCUCCCUGGGAUUGUUCAUCGAUCAAUUGGGCUUCCUGAUGUCCAUUCAGGCUAUGGGUUUGCUAUUGGAAAUAUGGCAGCCUUUGAUAUGAAUGACCCUGAAGCAAUGGCAUCCCCAGGUGGUGUCAGAUUUGAUAUCAACUGUGGUGUCUGCUUGCUAAGAGCCAAUUUAGAUGAAAGUGAUGUCCAGCCUGUGAAGGAGCAACUUGCCCAAGCUAUGUUUGACCACAUUCCUGUUGGGGGGGAAUCAAAAGGCAUCAUCCCAAUGAAUGCCAAAGACUUGGAGGAGGCCUUGGAGAUGGGUGUGGACUGUUCCCUGAGAGAAGGCUAUGCCUGGGCUGAAGACAAGGAGCACUGUGAAGAGUACGGAAGGAUGCUGCAAGCUGACCCCACCAACGUCUCUGCAAGGGCUAAAAAAAAGAGCCUUCCUUAGUUGGGGACCCUGGGAGCAGGCAAUCACUAUGCAGAAAUCCAGGUUGUGGAUGAGAUUUUCAAUGAGUAUGCUGCUAAGAAAAUGGGCAUCGACCGAUGAUCCACAGUGGAAGCAGAGGCUUGGGCCACCAAGUAGCCACAGAUGCACUGAUAGCUAUGGAAAAGGCCAUGAAGAGAGACAAGAUUAUAGUCAAUGACCGGCAGUUGGCUUGUGCGCAAAUUGCUUCCCCAGACGGUCAGGACUACCUGAAGGGAAUGGCAGUGGCUGGGAACUAUGCCUGGGUCAACCACUCUUCCAUGACCUUCUUAACCUAUCAAGCUUUUGCCAUGGUCUUCAACACAACCUCUGAUGACUUGGACCUGCACGUGAUCUGUGAUGUUUCUCACAACAUUGCCAAAGUGGAGCAGCAUGUGGUGGAUGGGAAGGAGCGGACACUGUUAGUGCACUGGAAGGGGUCCACCGGCGUCUUCCCUCCUCACCAUCCCCUCAUUGCUGUAGAUUACCAACUCACCGGACAGUACUCAUUGGUGGCACCAUGGGAACCUGUAGUUACGUUCUUACAGGCACUGAGCAGGGCAUGACUGAGACCUUUGGAAAACCUGUCAUGGAGUGGGCCGUGCAUUGUCCCAGGCCAAAUCUCGACAUAAUUUAGAUUUCUAGGAUGUCUUAGAUAAAUUGGCAGAUAUGGGUAUCUCAAUCCAUGUUGCCUCACCCAAAUUGGUUAUGGAAGAAGCUCCUGAGUCCUAUAAGAAUGUGACAGAUGUGGUGAACACCUGCCAUGACGCUGGGAUCGGCAAGAAAGCCAUUAAACUGAGACCAGUCGAGGUUAUCAAAGGGUAGGACUUGGAACCACAGGGCUGCCGGACCCCACUAACACUCUCUGAAGUGAAAGUGAAUGGAAAUGCUCUUCAGACAUCAGACUCCAGAACUGACAGGUUCCAAAGGGCACAGCUAAAACUGCUGACCGGGAGGCUGAUGCUUUGGAGAGCCAGUGUUUUAAAAUCACUUUUGGGAAGAGGCACAUUGUCCCCAUUUCAAAAGGGAAAAAUGUGCCUCCUCCAUUGUCCCCAGAUUUUGAGAAAAAUCUAUUAGAUGGUGGGUAGGGGUCAAGAAACUGCCUUACUCCAUCAUACAAAUGUUUAGCCAUCAAAAUGAUCUUCUUUACACCAAGUUCUGUUUACAUCCCAAGAGGUGUCAUGAAGAACAUUCUAUUAAAUAAUUUGGGGGGAUGUUUCCCUUCUUCCCUCUAUUUGUCAGUUUAUCCAGUCCCCCACCCAUCUAGCCACCACCCCUAUACAGAGCAGACCCUAAAUACCCUUCUUCCUUGGAGCACACUCCAGGGAUUGUGAUCAAGAUACCAGGUGAAUGGGUAGUGAGCUGUGUUGAGGAAGGAGUGCAUGCGCAGGUGGAAGGAAAGGGAGGCCCCAAAGAGAAACAUUUCAUGCCCUUGCUACUUUUCUCAUGCUAAAUACAAAUGAGUUUUGACUGACCUGGCACAUGGCAUCACUAGUAUCUGUCAUUAUUCAGGACUAUCCUGGUAAAAUAUUUUUCAGUAAUGCCUUGCACAGCAGCAGCAAAGAACCCUCACAGAAGACUGAAUAUCUUUACAUUUAUGGUUGAAUUAUUACAAAACCAAAGCUGUGACAGUUAACAGUGGCUCUGUGUUGAUAGAUUUGUCUAGUCUUGUGCCACUUAAUCAGAUGUCACAGUAUAUACAAAUGACACCACAAAAAUGUUAAAGGACUGUAGUUGAAGGUUACUAAGGCCUCUGUUGAAUCUGAAC